AUUGAACGCUGGCGGCAUGCCUUACACAUGCAAGUCGAACGGCAGCACGGGAGCAAUCCUGGUGGCGAGUGGCGAACGGGUGAGUAAUAUAUCGGAACGUGCCCAGUCGUGGGGGAUAACGCAGCGAAAGCUGUGCUAAUACCGCAUACGAUCUACGAAUGAAAGCGGGGGAUCGCAAGACCUCGCGCGAUUGGAGCGGCCGAUAUCAGAUUAGCUAGUUGGUGGGGUAAAGGCCCACCAAGGCGACGAUCUGUAGCUGGUCUGAGAGGACGACCAGCCACACUGGAACUGAGACACGGUCCAGACUCCUACGGGAGGCAGCAGUGGGGAAUUUUGGACAAUGGGCGCAAGCCUGAUCCAGCAAUGCCGCGUGCAGGAUGAAGGCCUUCGGGUUGUAAACUGCUUUUGUACGGAACGAAACGGCCCUUUCUAAUACAGGGGGCUAAUGACGGUACCGUAAGAAUAAGCACCGGCUAACUACGUGCCAGCAGCCGCCGUAACAC
rnacentral:rRNA from 1 species